CGAGAAAUCAACAAAAGACGCUCUUUCUGGUGGUUCUCUUUAAGCUGUUUCCAUUGAUUCUCUCUUUUUUUGAAGACAAAUCCAAAGGCAGAGAUCCUGAGUUUGCUAGGUGGUUCUUACCUUGUCUGCAUCAGUGUGCUUGUAUUCUGCUAACUCUGGUUGCUUGAUUCAUAGCUGGGUCGAUAUAUUGAUAAUGGCACAGGGAAAAAGUGCUUCGUGUUGAUAGCGUGCUAUAGAAAAACCAGUUUGUUAAGCCGGUUCCUUCUUCUACUCUAAAGAAACACUAAAAACCGGAAAGCAGUGUCUUAAAGUAUAGGCGUUAAUCAAGAUAGUCAUAAGAUUUAUUUUCUUGAUGUGGGAUGAUGGGAGUGACGAUGAUGAAGGUGAUAAUGAAAAUGAUGGUGACAAUGGAGAAGCUGCUUCAAAGAAGACAUUCAUGGUUCUUUUGGAGGCAGCAUCUCUAAAAUCGUUGAGGAAAUUAAGCAUGAAGAUGAGGAAAAAUUGAGAAGACGUUUGAGGCACGACAAGUUGCUAAACAAGAGAAGUUAAAGGAAUGUCCACCCUGCUUAGGAAAGCACAAAAGUUUCAGCCUGCUCCCAUUCAAGUUCUAUUUGAAGAGAUCAAUGGAUCCUUUUGAAAGCUUAAGAUAAUUAGGAUUGGUACACCCUUCUAGAGGAUCGGCAUAAAAUCAUAGAGAAGAGAGGGUUGAUUGUUCCAAAACCCGGGAGAAACAGGUUAGUUUAAACUUUAUUUUAUGCCUGCAAUAAGUUGGUGCCGUCGUCUUCUGCUUGUUUUACCUGAUGCUUUUUCGUGGCGCAAGGUUUAUGUGUGGUGAUACACAUUGAUAGAUAUGAUUAUAUAUGAACUUAAUUUGGUUUAAAUUGAGUUUGAAGUGAAAUGAUUUCUUUAUGUUCAAAUGUUUAUACUCUGAAGGUAUGGUGUAAAACUAAGUUAAAUUUUUUCGAACUAAUGCAAAAGCCACUUCUAGUCAAAUCUUUGAAUGAAAAAUCCAUUUUUUAUGUCCUCCCUAACAAGAAAUAGGGAUAUCAUAAUUGGAAAGCUUAACUAUCAUAAAUACUUACAGACCUUUACUAACAAACAACCUAAUUUUCAUAUGAUCCAUUGACAAAAAUCAACAUCCCUGUAGUAAAAACGACCGGUUAAGAUGAUCUUGAAUGUCAGGCAUUCCAUCCUGGAUAUACUCAUAUGCAUUUUUACCAACAACAUCCUAAAACAUACCAAUGAAGUUUUCAUAUGCUGGCAACAAAAUGCUUUCUAUGGAAAUUAUUAUAUGUUUCCUUAAUACAUGUUUUAUUCAAUGAAACAAAAAAAUUGUUUCUUACUUAUAUUCAAAACCGGAGUAGUAAGUCAUUCCGUACUAUGUCAAGUUUUUUUUUUUUAUAAGCGAAGAGCAUCUAGACAUCAAGGGACAAAACAGACUUCACCUCAUUCUUUGCCUAUAUUUCCUUAUUAAUAAAAAAAGAAAAUAUAUAUAUACAAGAAUUGGGGGCACAUAAACCUAACCCAGUGAGUCCAAACAAAAGCGUAGGACAUUUGAUAACCAACUUCUAAAUAGUCCUAAUAGACUAAUUCAAAGUCUACGUUCUAGUGCAUGGACCCAUCAACAUGAAAUUGAUCCAAGAACCAACAACCCCCUACGACGAACAACAGGUUUAGAGACCUUUUGAGCCAUACAGUCCAAUAAUCAAUGAUGAGGAUAUCAAAUCAGUUCGAAAUCAGCCACAAGGACUAAUACGGAUAACGGGCGGCACAGACGCGAAAUCCAAACCUAUGAAACCUGCAACCUUCAAUAAAUCCGGAAACAUCAAGAUCAAAGAAUGAGACACGAAUUUUGCGGUCAUGCAGAAUGGCAAAUCUAACUAUGUUAAGUUACAAUAUCCUCAUUUGAAAAAGAAGAAGGAAAUAAAAAAUGAAGGUCAAUUUAAGAAGUUCAUGGAGAUUUUUAUGUUCCUGUCUCCUUAGAAAUCAAGGACACAGUAGUACGAUCCUAUAGAACAGAUCCUGUUCAAGUAAGGUGGUGAAGUUCAUGGAGAUUUUUACUAAGCUUCAAGUCAACAUUCCAUUAGACGAGGUUAUUGAACAAAUCUCGGUUUGUGAUAAAUUCAUGAAAGACUUGUUAGAGAGGAGUGCAACGCUAUUCUUAAAAAAAAAAAUCCAAGUAGCUUCACAAUUUCUUGUUCUAUUGUGAUAGAGAGAAUAUAUAUAUAAUAUAUGAAGAAAAAAAAUACGAAAAAUGCAGACAGUAAAAAUAAUGUUCUGAAAAUGCAAUAUGUUUCAAAAAUUGCAAAAGAAAAUGGUGAGUGAAAUAUUAAAUAUAUGUUAUUUAUGUUUAGGGUUAAUAGGUAUUUUGUCCCCUGUAAUUUGGGUGAGUUUUGCAUUACUCCCUAUAAUUUUUUAUUUUUUUUUGGCUUUACCUCCUGUAAUUCAAAGAUUCCGUAUUUUUAACUUAUGACUAUACAUGUUGAAAUAUGACUAUCUAUUUUGAUGAUGUGACACGCUAAUUUGUCAUUUUUUCUACUUUUAAAUACACCAGGAUAUUUAUAACAACAAAAUCUCCCUUUCUUCUUGCUAAAUAUUAUUACUUACAACAUUUUUAAUACACUUGCUAAAAAGUCCAUCCAUCGUAAAACCCGUUCAACAUUCACUUUUAUUUAAAAUUUUAAAAAAUUUAUAACAAUGGCAUCAAGAGACACUUAAGUUUACCGCUUCAAAUUUCUAAAUAUAUUAGCAGAAACCUGGAAGCAUACUUGAGUGAUUAUUAUGAUGUGAUUUUAAAUAUAAAAUAUGCCAUUUAUUUCUAAUAUUUUCCAGUUAGUCAAUACCAUUAAUAAUUUCUUAUAUUUACUUUGGCUUGUGGUACCAUUCCUCGAAACUUCAUAUGAAAUAAGGUGAUGACUUCUCAUCCAGUGCCACAUAUGGUUGAUCUAAGUGCAUCCAUCUAUCUUUGAAAACAAUUUUAAGUAACUCAUUAAAGAGAGAAAAUCAUGUCCAUGAUUAUCCAAAUUCGGAGGUGGCUGAUGCAGACAAUAGUGUGGAGAUUUGUGGGCUAGCAGUUGUUGGAUUGCUUCAUCACCAGCUUUAUGGUUUUGUAUACAAAGAUAUGGCAGUCAUCAAGAAGUCUUCGGUUUAAAGCCCAUACCGCAUUUCUGGUAUUGACAAUCACAUCUGUCUAAAUGGGAAACCAGAUGCAUAUAGCUUGAUUUCAUGUGCCGCCUUCGCUAUCAUGUCAAUGUGCUUGUCAAGGCAAUCUCAGUGCGGAUUUGAGGUGGGUCUUCUUUAUUUUUUCCUUGGAUGUCUAAUUGUGUUACUCAUGAAGAUUAAAUUGCAGUUAUUCAUCCUUGGAGCAGGUUUCAGCUAUUCUCUUAUUAUUCUUCGUUCUUCUUUUACUUCCAUAAACACCACAACAGAACAAGAGUAUUUACAGCUUCCAGGUGGAAAUUUCGUAGUCAUUGAAAUGGAUUCACUACCAAGGCCAAAUAAUGAAUUUUCAAGAAUGAUGCAACAGCUUCCGACUUUUACUAAUGCACUUCAACAGGAAAAUAUGAAUCUCAUAGUUAAAAGUGCAUUACAUUUACUUGAUAAUUGUGAAUUUGUGAUGGCUGCUCUUUCGUUAGGAAAGAUACAAAAUCUUCACGAAAUUGUGAAGUUGAUGGUAGCCUCCGGUUAUGAGAAAGAGUGCUCUGAUGUGUAUAGCAGUUGGCGCUCGGUAUUCUUACAGGAAUUUCUGAUAAAUAAAAUAUUUGGGUUGCCACUGCCAGAGACUAAGAUCAACACCAUGAGUGAGGAUCAAAGGGAGCAAUUUUUAGAUUGCAUGUUUGAAAGAUGGAUAACUGCUUCCGAUGUAGCUAUCAAUAUUUUGUUUCCCAUUGAACAAAAACUCUGCAAACGUGUCUUCUUGGAUUCUCCUCUGCCACUUCUCACUGUUUCAUUGAGGUUUGCCAAAAAUCAAUGUUUCAGCUACUGAAUUUUGCAGAUACAUUUGCUUCUGGGAGUCCUACAGAAUGGCGUUUCUCGAAAAUGCUUAAAAUAUUCAAGCAUUUGCGUGAUAUAACUCCUAAAUUACAAUCUUUGUUCCCUGAUUCAACAUUGCUGAACAAAGCAAUUGCAGUUCAAAAUAGAUUAGGAGAAGCUAGCAGAGACCUUUUCAUGGAAAUGGAUAAGUUUAUUUCAUAGUCCCAGAAGCAAUGCAAGUUGCUACGCCUUAUGGCCAACAUCACCGAAUGACUGUCAACGUCGUGAACUACAUGACUUCUGUUUGCAAGUCACGGUGGAAACUGGAACAAAUUUUACAAGAAUACCCCAAGGUUGACAAUAAAGUAGAAACAUCUUCUAUCUUCGUGAAGCAGAUUGAGCAGAUAAUAGAGAUGUUGCAAAAAAAAUUGAUAGCCAAGUCCAAAAACUACAAGGACCCUGCUUUGCGCCAUAUUUUCAUGCUAAAUAAUAGGGUGCACAUCAAAGAAGACAAAUGCAAAGUUCAGUCUGCAUGGUUUGUUUAUAACAAUAAGCUUAGGAAACACAUAAUAAUCACACAUUAACAUUUUUUUUACUGACACUUAACUAAUCAAGCUCAAAUAAUUACUAAUAGCUCAACUCAUCUCAUUUACCACAAACUAGACAUCAAAUUGAAAUGCUUAGCUAGAAAACAAGGGGGUAUCCCACUUUUUUUUAGUUACCAUAAUAUUAGUAUAAAGUUUUUACCGCUAUAACGAUGGCUAAUCUCUGUCGAGGAAUCCAUAUAAGGUGAGUUUUAUCCUUUUAACUAAAUUUUCUCCAUGUAUGGGA